rnacentral:misc_RNA from 1 species
AAAGGUGCAUGAGUGGUGUUUGGUUUGUUUCCGGUGGUUGGCUCUCUGCUUGCGCAACAACUUCCACCUGGCAUACCUCUUCAGUUACACAUCAAGGUUUAUUACCUUGGUUGCGUUCUGGGUUACUGUGUUGUAUACCUAUGUGACGGUAUUGUUUGGAUUCAUUGAUUCCUAUUCAUCUUUCGUCAUGCUUGUGGUGUGGGAUGAACCUUGAAGCGAUCUCUUUGGUCUACCUUGUUGACGCAUAACGUUCAUAUUGUGGCCCAUUGAGCAUUGCUUGGUUUCAUGGAUACAGAACAUGAUGUGGGCAUGGGGUCUUACAUGAUCCUUGUUUUGUCCUAGUUGAGCGUUAUUGUUUCUCUAAGAUGACUUCCAGCUCUAAUUGGCUCGUACCAUCGGGUGGGAUAUGUUGUCGAAGAGAUAUGCUAGCGCUCUAGCUUCUGAAAU